UAAAGAUCAAAUCACGCCGCCGACCUCUCCUCGGUUCUUAUGGUGAUCCUGAAGCACGCCGCCGCUGCCAUCGCGGGAUCUUCCUAGGACGAUGACGAAGCCCACGCCGCCGCCAUCGCGGGAUCUUCCUGGGACGACGACGAAGCCCACGCCGCCGCCAUCAGGGAAUUUUCAUGGUACCACGACGCCGCCGCUGCGCCAUCGCGAAUACUCCUCGCAACUUCGUCAUUGUCGGGUCUGGUCGCAUGGGUCAUCGACACCGCUGGAUUCCUCUCGCCCGAUGACGCAGUGGCUAACUCGUCGUGCGGGCCAAGUCAGCCGUUCGAGCGAGGCCGGUAGCGAUGAGGGUAUGGGGCAUCAAGAGGAGCGGCCGCACCAUACCCGGGUUCAAGGUGGCCCUCGGCAUGGAAGCCAACAGGGUCGUGCAAAGAUGGAUCAGCUGCUGAACAUGACACCACGACCCUCAUCGAGUACAUCUGAUAUGUAUGCAUUACGUCCCCUCAUAGAGUAAUGUUGUUUUUUUCUCGUUCUAAUCACCUUGGAUCCAGAUCGACAUUCAGAUCCUGGCGUGUUUUUUACUCCAUGAAAAUAGAUUGCACGAUUGACAGAUGCAAAUGAAGAGAGCAAAAUGAUUUUAUGUCUCUCCUAAGCACGACGUCAUGGUCGUCAUAUGCGUAAUAAUCAAGGGGCUUCUGGGGUCGAAGCAAUUCUUCUCCAUGUAGCCGGAGCAACACUGCAUGCAAAUGCGAGCCCAUACUUAAUCGGCAUCACACUCUUGGCCAAGGGAUUUAGGUAUGCAACCGAUUAAAUUCCAGUGACUUGACAUCCUGACACAUAUGUUCCAUCAACUUCGUAAUAUGUUGGUGAUGUUCAACCCUCAACUUUGUCGUCAGAUUAUGAUGAAUGGAGUGGUCACUAGCAAUGUUCAUUGGAUAAUCUUGAUUCAACAAAGCACAAGCUCAAGCCAUGCAGAGAUGAUUCAAGGCACGCAUUGAUGUCCAAGUUUUCAUGCAUUUGAUAUAGAGCAGUUUUAGCAUGAUCCCUCUUACCUCAGGGAGAGGUACGUGCUAAGAGUAUAUCUGAACCAUAGAUUUUAUUAAAUAGUCAGGCCAAGUAAUUAACAUGUGUAAAUAAAGAAGGUUGCAACCAUUCACAUCUUACCUCGGGCAUUUAAGGAAACACUCCUCCCAUAUCUCCCGUCGAAUCAACAAGAGAGAAAAUCACGAAAAAAAUAUCUUCUCAUGAACCUCUCGGCCCCUUAAAAUCCUCCCACGAAUCCCCACCCAUCUGAAUCCUUUCUUUGGAUCUUGAAUAUUUUUAUUUUUUUUGAAAAGAAAUUAGGUUCAAUGACAUUAACUAAAAAUAGUAGAAAACUACCAGUUUUUGAACAUACAACUUCACAAAAUACACAUAGUGUGCUAACCAGUACUACCAGUUCUGGUGUUUCCUAUUAUUUGUAACACUUAUCAAAUAUGAGUGUUGGACGAACUUUACCUCCGUUGGAUAACCUAUUACCUCACUUAAUUUUGACCCUAGGAUAAAAAAGAAUGUACGGUCCAUAACAGUUGGGACCAUCUUAAAAUUUGCCUUUGAUAUAUACUGAAGUAUAGCUGAAAUAAACAAAAUCUAUGCUUGCACUAAAGAUCAGUAGAAGGUUGCCGAUGAUUGCAAGUCUUCUAACAAGAUUAUGUAUUUUUUGGCAUUUGAAAAACACAAAUAGGCUUGGCCACUCACAAGUUUGAUUCAUCAUCCUUAGGUCUGAAUAGAAGCACAAAUUUGUUUGAGUGAAAAGUACAUGGGCGUGGUUUUCUCUUUAACAUUCCAUGUCAAAUAAAUGAGAAUAUACCUGCAUAGUUAUGGGUUGCUACUACAAAGAAUGGGUUAAUUAAUGGGCAGCAGAAUGUGAUUUAGUUUCUUGUGGGCAGUGGAGUGGGACUAACUAGGGUGCCUUGCAAUUUACAAACCACUCGAGAAUUGCAUAAAUAACAACAAUAUGUUUUGCGAAGGCACACAUAUAUCUUCUUCGUUGGUCUCUCCUUGUGGCUGACUCAAGAACCGGAGGAAAGAUAGUAUUCGUGUAAGGAACUAUAUGAUGUGUGUCUGGCAUGAACACAAUUAGAUCCUAAGGCUAUAUAUUUGACAAGAUUAUAUUAAACCAUUUAAAUAUUUAUUUAUUUUUAGAAAAGGAGGAUGACCCCCGGCCUCUGCAUCUGGGAGAUGCAUGCGGCCAUUUUAUUGAUUAUUCUCGAAGACCUUACAAAGUAGAACAACAAUAUGCCUGAAUUCAUCAUCUUAGCAACAUCUGCUGCUACUCCUAUCCAUAUAUUGAAGGGGUGCAAGUUGGGUCACAUACCCAGACCUCUCACCUACAUCUAAAGCCGGAGGCCCCAACCGAGCCACAUACCAGGUCCGGGGCACAAACCGCUCCGACGCACUCACAUGUGUCAUCGUCGCCAUCUUCCACUGGUCCAUCUUUAGAGAAGAUUGAUGUGUCAACCUUGGUAGGUCCUCCGCCAUUGACGCCACCAGGACGCCAAACGAUGGCCUCCACCUAUGCGAGUCCAUCUUCAAACAACGGACGUAGAUCCAUGCUAGGAUAGGCCCGCACCACCGUCGUCACCGACCACCCACAAGCGCCACCCAACCCCAAGGUUUCCAAAGCGGCGCCUUUAAGAAGGGAACGGCGCCGUGAACCCCGCCACCGCCCAACAAAGUUAGGGCUUUCGCCCGGGAGACCUAGGGAUAGGGGAAGUUAGGAGAUCAGUCAAUACCGACGCCUCCAAGGAGGGGAACGACGCCCUGAGGUGACACCGUCGGCGCGGCCGGACAUGGUCGGCUAGGGAUUUCGCCCGAACUAGAUCCCCGCGUACAGAACUGGCGACUAAGGGAAGCGCGGCCUGACCAGGCUGGCCGCAUGCCAAACAUGGGAAGAGGGGAGGCACCAGAUGCGCGCACCGGCCACCGUAGAAGCCGCCGCCCGCCCACGACCACCAGGUUCCCGCCGCCCGCGCAGCCAGGACGCGAGAUCCAUCACCCGCACGGCUACUCGCCGGAGCCUCUCGUGCCUCGCCAAAAGAGACGCUGCUCCAGAUCCGGGACUCCCCACCCAGAGGCAGGGCAGCCGAGGCCCCGCUGCCACCAUCCUUGGUGCCCCCGGCUUGCCCGAUGGCCGCCUCAGGCAGCGGCGAGGAAGGGAGUGGGGGUGAGGUUGGCGGCGCGGCUAGGGUUC